UUUUAAUUCCUAGACAAAUAAGAUAGGAUAUUCCUUUAUUAGCCCCACAAUGGGGAAAUUGGCAGUGUACAGCAGCAAAGGGGAUAAUGCAGAAAACAAGAAGCAUCGUUAAAAAACAAAAAGCAAGAUACAACACAGUGCAAAAAGCAAAACAAAAGUGAAACAAAA